GGACAAUGUGCUUUCUCAAGUCUUUUCCAAUUCCACACCCCAUGACUGUGGAAAAGCAGAACAUCCAGGUAGUUGACAUGCCACAUUUUUAUGAUAGGGAGGUCCUUUCCUUCCACCCCAGAUCUUUCACUCUAUGUUUCUCUACAUCUUCGAAACCCAAGCAAUAGUCAAGUCCUAAUCGUGCCAUCAGCAGGACUCACUUAAACAAGAUGGAAGAGAAAGACAAAAAUUCUCCUUAAUCCCAGUUGAUAUGUGACUUUGCUUAGCACUUUGAAUAUUAUUAAGUGUUUGAAUUUCUUCCUGUGUCUUUUUCACCGAGAUGACUGUCUUUCUGUUUCGUUGACAGCCUCUGCAGGACCAAAUUGACAGCUCUUUAAAGGCGGCUGACGAAAAGCAGCAUUAAUUAAGUCAUUGCCGGACUGUAAUUGUGUUAAGAAGUAAAAAUCUAAUACGAGAAAAGAGUCAUUUACUGAGGACCCAAUGGCUUGUGUCCUGUGACGGAUGGAAGCUGGAGGCUUGCAAAUACCAACCAGGUCCUUCGUGUGAGCACACAGAGAGAACCAGCAACCCCCAUAUCCACUUGAAGGCACGUGCACGUUGUCCAGAAUCUCACCCCACUUCCAUCAGCCAUCACCUUCUGCCAAGAAAGUGAUCCUUGUGCAGUUUCUGUGCCUGAUGUAACUGUUUCCAUAUUCACUUGGCUUCCUAAUUGGGCCUCGUACCUUUUGGAGAAAAAAAUUGAGGUUGCCGCCAGCUUGGCAGAAGCUAAAGUGAGAAGCCAUGCAGAUAUGGUUUCUGAAGAAGCAAUUGAUUUGUUUCACACACUACCUACCUUCCUUGAAAAUUAAAAAAGCUCACCGACAAAGUGGCAAUUGGUCAGGACCUCAGGAGGGCGAAAAUACAAAAAAAAAAAUUAAUUUCAAACUGUGAAACUCAGCCAGUGAGAGCUAAUAGCCUCACUCCCGACACACAGCAUUCACCUUCUAGUAGACUCAACACAGCCUUGGUGUGGGUGCGUCUGCUGAUUUUUUUCCUUUUUUCUUUUUUUUAAUUGGGGGAAAUCUGUGAAGUCAUAUUCCUCUUACCUGGAUUUCAUCACUCCCCCUACAUGGACUAAACGUCAUCAACGUCUUCCUAAAGGACAGUUUGCAAACCCCGUCUCCCAUUAUUUCUCCUACCACUCUUCUACCGUGGAGCAGACAACAGUUGUUCCCACAGUUCUCUCUAAUGGUGGAAACAUAGUAAUUAACCACAUCCUCUCAAAUGUUGGUUGAAUGGCUGGCCCCUAAUUUGUCUACUUUCUGCAGAGGUUUCAGUGUCUCAUGAAAUUUAUUGCCAUACUAAAGUCACCUUUUAAAUUAUGGAUCAUGAUAUUGUUAUGCUGCUAAAAAUGUUCACAGCAUUGUAAUUUUAUGCACUGG
rnacentral:lncRNA from 1 species